rnacentral:rRNA from 1 species
GGCGACAGCGGUACCAGUAGCCGGGGUAAUAGGUAGGUGGCAAGCGUGGGCCGGAAUUAUGGGGCGGAAAGGGAGCGCAGGUGGGAAUGUAAGUCAAUCUUAAAAGUGCGGGGCUCAACCCCGUGAUGGGAUAGAAACGACAUUUCUUGAGUGCAGGAGAGGAAAGUGGAAUUCCUAGUGUAGCGGUGAAAUGCGUAGAUAUUAGGAGGAACACCAGUGGCGAAGGCGACUUUCUGGACUGUUACUGACACUGAGGCUCGAAAGCUAGGGGAGCGAACGGGAUUAGAUACCCCUGUAGUC